ACCAUGAUAGUUCAGCUGGUAGAACACCUGUUUGGUAGGCAGAAGGCCACCGAUUAGACUACGGUUCGAGGCG
rnacentral:tRNA from 1 species